CCCUUAGAUGUUCUGGGCCGCACGCGUGCUACACUGAGUGGAUCAGCGGGUCAGGUUACGCGAGAGCGUUUCCUAAUCUUCAAAUCCGCUCGUGAUGGGGAUUGACGGUUGCAAUUUUCCGUCAUGAACGAGGAAUACCUUGUAAGCGCGGGUCAUCAUCCCGCGCUGAAUACGUCCCUGCCCUUUGUACACACCGCCCGUCGCUCCUACCGAUUGAGUGGUCCGGUGAGGCGUUGGGAUCUAAGCGAAAAGAGCGUUUCGCUCCUUUUGCUGGGAGAACUCAGUCGAACCUUAUCAUUUAGAGGAAGGAGAAGUCGUAACA
rnacentral:rRNA from 1 species